rnacentral:rRNA from 1 species
UACGUAGGGGGCAAGCGUUGUCCGGAAUUAUUGGGCGUAAAGAGCUCGUAGGCGGUGUGUCACGUCGGCCGUGAAAACCUGCAGCUUAACUGUGGGCGUGCGGUCGAUACGGGCAUCACUGGAGUUCGGCAGGGGAGACUGGAAUUCCUGGUGUAGCGGUGAAAUGCGCAGAUAUCAGGAGGAACACCGGUGGCGAAGGCGGGUCUCUGGGCCGUAACUGACGCUGAGGAGCGAAAGCAUGGGGAGCGAACAGG